AAACCUGCAAGUGUGUUUCAAAAUGUUUUCGUCAGGGCAAUUGUGUUACUGCCCCUUUUUUGGACAUCUGGUAGCGCUUAAAUGUGAGUAUAAAGCAGCGAUGAAGUGCACUUGGACUGCAGAAAGCAGCAGGAUGAAGAGUAAUGUGCAGCUAGGGCUGUUGUGUCUCAGCCUGCUCAUCUUCAGUCUUCAUGGAGAAGUUGUCGAGACAGAAUCGAGCCAUGAAUCCCCCCCCUAUUUCGAAGAGCCGGAUCUUCAUCAGCUUGAGAUGUACAGAGUACGACGACAGACGGUCUCCACAGAGAAAGAAAAUCCAGCAAGAACAGUAGCUGUUUUGCCACCAAGUGAGAACAGCAAGACUAAGAGAAAAAGGCCACGUCCAGGAGGUCUCACUCCUUUAGGAGCACCAACGAUAUACGUCAAUCACCGCACCAAGAGACAGGAAAAAAGCAAGAAUAACAAAAGGAAAAUACGUCCUGGAAGUCAGAGCCUUUUACGGCCCCAGCAGACUGCCAAUGUCAAGAGGGAUGACGAAUGAAAAAGUUAAAGCAUUAUAUGCGUUCAAGGCUCCUUCCCAGGUUCCCUGAAUCAGGAAAAAAGGAAUACAUCACCAUGUUUCAUAAAGAGUGUUUCAGGCUCAGGUUAUGCUUGUGAUAAUCAUUUAUAUUUCUAUAGUUUUUCUUUUCCACGUAUAUUUUGGUUAAGUAAUAAUCUCUAUGGAAAAUAAAAUGUAUUUACUGAAUUCUCCCCCGUGUGUAUUUCUUAUUCGCAUCAGUAGGGGGCCAUGUUUACCCAAGAGAUGAGCGCUCAAACCAGCUUGGCCUCUGUUAAAACGAAAUGUUUGAUAUCUGUUUAUCUUCAUCUCUUAAUUACAAUAAAGCAUUUGUCUUGAAAUGUCACUCUUUUAUUGUGUGGAAAACAAUGUAGAUGACGAAUGGCU
rnacentral:lncRNA from 1 species